rnacentral:lncRNA from 1 species
UUUUUUCUUAAUCUGGAAUAUUUAUAUUUGCACAAGUUUCAUGACCAUCUAUGCAGGUUUCAAAGUUAAGGAAGCUACCAUUUAAGUUAUAGACAGGACAGGAGUUUUGAGUAAACAAAAGGCAGGAUGAUCAACUUGGCAAAAAAAGGCAGGAUGUAAAUUUAUGUAAAAAAAACAACAAAAAAGCCCGGAUAUUCUUAUAAAAAA